AAGUGAUUGUCGUCGUAAAAUUGUAUUGUGUUUGGUAAUCAUUAAGUGAUUUACGGGAUUAUGUGAUCAAUUAAAAGUGCGCGGGAUAGAGACGCUUGUUUUCUUUCCAUAUAAAACGCCUAUUCCUGUGUGUGUAGCUUUCCUCGAGUGUUUUCAUUUGUAAUAUCUGGAUUCUUUCUGUCUCCGACAACAUGGAUCGAUGAAAAACAAGUCUUUUGAGUCAUGCUUCAUGGACCGGGUUUUAGUGUCGUUAUAUGUCUAAAUCAUCAGAAGACUACAUUUCCCUAACUCUAGUGAAUCAAGUGGCAGUUCUGCAGAGGGUUUGAACUGUAUGUGCUAUCCAGCAAUGUGACGACCAGGACAGCCAUGACCAGUGUGAGUCUGAAGCUGGACAACCUUGGGAGUUCAGAGCAGAUCACUAAACUGUUCCCCAAGUGUCACCCCAGAGAUAUCAACCUCAAC